rnacentral:rRNA from 1 species
UACUCUGUCGUGGGGGAUAACGUAGGGAAACUUACGCUAAUACCGCAUACGACCUACGGGUGAAAGCAGGGGAUCUUCGGACCUUGCGCGAUUGAAUGAGCCGAUGUCGGAUUAGCUAGUUGGCGGGGUAAAGGCCCACCAAGGCGACGAUCCGUAGCUGGUCUGAGAGGAUGAUCAGCCACACUGGAACUGAGACACGGUCCAGACUCCUACGGGAGGCAGCAGAU